UACGGCGGGUGCAAGCGUUAUCCGGAUUCACUGGGUUUAAAGGGUGCGUAGGUGGGCAGUUAAGUCAGUGGUGAAAUCUCCGGGCUCAACCCGGAAACUGCCAUUGAUACUAUCUGUCUUGAAUAUCGUGGAGGUAAGCGGAAUAUGUCAUGUAGCGGUGAAAUGCUUAGAUAUGACAUAGAACACCAAUUGCGAAGGCAGCUUACUACCCGAAUAUUGACACUGAGGCACGAAAGCGUGGGGAUCAAACAGG
rnacentral:rRNA from 1 species